GACGAACGCUGGCGGCGUGCUUAACACAUGCAAGUCGAACGGAAAGGCCCUGCUUUUGUGGGGUGCUCGAGUGGCGAACGGGUGAGUAACACGUGAGUAACCUGCCCUUGACUUUGGGAUAACUUCAGGAAACUGGGGCUAAUACCGGAUAGGAGCUCCUGCUGCAUGGUGGGGGUUGGAAAGUUUCGGCGGUUGGGGAUGGACUCGCGGCUUAUCCGCUUGUUGGUGGGGUAGUGGCUUACCAAGGCUUUGACGGGUAGCCGGCCUGAGAGGGUGGCCGGCGACAUGGGGACUGAGGUAGGGACCAGAGGCGAACGGGAGGCAGCAGUGGGGAGUAUUGCACAAUGGGCGGGAGCGUGAUGCGGAGGCGCCGGGUGCGGGAUGACGGCCUUCGGGGUGUGAACCGCUUUCGCCUGAGACGAAGGGUGGGUGACGGUAAUGGGUAAAGAAGCACCGGCUAACUACGUG
rnacentral:rRNA from 1 species